CCUGAAAGAGCAUAGGAGACAGAACUGGAAGAGCAUAGGAGACGUGCUCAUUUGAUUGGCGAGGAAGGCUAUGCAGCUGAAUUUAGCGAUGAGGCUAUUGAGGCAGGAGCUAUUGAUCCUGCGCUGGUGCUGGAACAAAUUGAGGCUCACAUUGCCACAGUGAAAGAGGAAGCCUUUAGCAGGAAGGAUAUUCUCGAGAAGGUUGAAAGAUGGUUGAAUGCAUGUGAGGAGGAAGCUUGGCUGGAAGAUUACAACAAAGAUGACAAUCGUUAUAAUGCCGGGAGGGGGGCCCACUUGACACUCAAAAGGGCUGAGAAAGCUCGUAUUUUGGUUAACAAGAUCCUAGGACUGGUAGAUGUUUUAACCACAAAAAUUGUAGCCUGGGAGGCAGAAAGAGGAAAGGAAUUCACAUACGACGGUGUAAGUUUUCUUAUUCCUGUACUUUUUUUUCUUGGACGUUUAAUUCCUUUUAGAAUCAAGAACAGUCAGGAAGCAGUUCUUUAGGAUCUUCUGGAAUGCUAUACGAAGGAAGCUCGGGUGACAAUGCUCCAUUUGAUAUUAAUGACUUUCCUCAGUUAAAUGGACGACCUAAUUCUGCUGAAGGUGGUCAAGGACAAUAUGGAUCACUGAGAAAGCAUGGAGUAAGCGUCAAUGCCAUUGUACAACAAAACCAGGAAUUCAGCAUUCAGAAUGAAGAUUUUCCAGCUUUACCAGGUAAUAAAGGUGUGUGCUCA